rnacentral:rRNA from 1 species
UACGUAGGUGGCAAGCGUUGUCCGGAAUUAUUGGGCGUAAAGCGCGCGCGAGCGGUCCUUUAAGUCUGAUGUGAAAGCCCACGGCUCAACCGUGGAGGGUCAUUGGAAACUGGGAGACUUGAGUGCAGAAGAGGAGAGCGGAAUUCCACGUGUAGCGGUGAAAUGCGUAGAGAUGUGGAGGAACACCAGUGGCGAAGGCGGCUCUCUGGACUGUAACUGACGCUGAGGCGCGAAAGCGUGGGGAGCAAACAGG